GGAGAUAGUGUGUAGCAAAUGAGGAUAUGAUUUUCUCUGAUAUGAUAUAUGUUUCUGAAUAUAUGAAAUAUUGUUCUGAUAAUUACAUAAUUGCAUGUUAUAAGUAAAAUUUUGUAUGUGGGCCAAGUCACACACUGGGCUUCUAGCUCAUUCGUUUGUUUUGAUGCCUUUCAGGUGAUCCUCAGACUUAGGAUUUGGUAAUGUUUUCGGAGCUCGGUUCAGACACUUUAAAUUUAAAGUAUGUUUUGAAUUUAUUAUGG
rnacentral:lncRNA from 1 species